GAGGUGUUAGUCCAAAAAAGACAGCUGAUUUCGACUCAACUAAUUAUGGUUCAAACCCAUAACACCUCU
rnacentral:tRNA from 2 species